CUUCCUCCCACGCCACACACUCUCCCACCUAAACCUAAACCUAAACCUAGGUCACCUGCUGCCGCCGGCCCCUGACUUGCCGGCCGAUUUGCUCGCGCUGCCGCCUCUCCCACCACCAACGGCGCCUCCCAAAGCAGGAGAUCCACCGUGACCGAAGCAGGUCAGGCGGCGGCCCUGGCGCACCUAGAUCGGCCAGCGCCUUCCGACGUCGAGCUCCUCUGCUCCCAGCGCCAGAUCCACCUAUGGCUCCAUCUCCACAACCACGCACCGGCAGCCGCCAUGGAAGGUGCUCUAUGUGCUUGCUUCUUCCCUUCCGGGGAUGCCGCUACUCUGACGCCAUGGACAAAUGAUUACAAAAUGUUGAUGCAAACCAGCUCCAGAAUGAGCUCAAGGCAUAGAGGAAGAAUGAGGAGGAGGAGAUGAGCACACUUCUGAACCACUACCUUCAUUUCUGUGCAGUUCUAGAAGGAGCUCAAACCUAUUUCUCAUGCCUCUGAAUUUCCUUUUUCUUGUACUGGAUAUCUUCUUGUUCUUUCACUCCUGACCAAUAGACUUCUAAUCUAGGUGCUCAUUAUUUCUACUUGUUUGUUGUCUCAGGGAUCACAAGUUUAAUGUUUACUAAAUCAAGAAACCUUCUGAAUCUGCUAACAUAGCCUCCAUUUACUCUCUGCUCAAGUCUGUUUGUGGCAUAUCUUAUUUUAACUUCUGUUUUAGUCUGCUCAAGUGGAGAUCUCCGUAAACUUCAGAAAUCAUAGUCACGAAAUUGUAGGGAUAAAAGGGGUAAUGGAAAAUUGCAUUUCUCUAGUCUUAGUUUGUUCUUCCUUGGCGCCCUACUAUUUACAUUUUUUUCUAUUUGGUAUGUAUAUUAGUAAUGAAUGUCCACUUCUCCUAUCUAUAUUUUCAUAACUAUGUUUCUUAAUUAUACUACUAAUUCACACGAAGUUGUUUGGUGGAUAGUGCAGUUUUAACCUGCUGCUUCUCGAUAAAAGUUGUUGCCAUGUAUUUAACUCAUCACAUAAUUUGCUCAGUAUGCAUAUUUUGCACUAUUUUUUAUUAAGCAUCAUGGUCUGAUAUGUGCUACUUGCAGGAGAAAAGAUGGAAGGAACAAGAGGUGGAAGUGAGCUCCCAGCAUAUGAACAAUCGAGGCUUGCAAGUAUUGCAAAAAACAAAAGCUGAAGAACUUGGCUAUGACAUGCAGAGAGAUGAAAUAUUUGUCAGAGCACAUACACGUAAAAUUGGAGUUCCUACCGCACAAGCGGAGACAUUAAUUAAAUAAAUUAGGUGCCUCAUUUGCUCUAUUUUUUGGAGAAACAACCUGAAGAAACAGCUGAACCACCAACAACACUUGCAAUGGAAAUUCAAUUUCAUCGACAAGAUGAACAAGUUUCUACUCUACUAGGGCACACAGAAAAAAUGCAACGAUAAAUUGGAGAGAUGCAUCAAGUUCUCUUUUCUCAAGGCAUCAGAAAUGUGGAAACACUAGGGACAAAUGGUAGAAAGUAGCAAGUCCACUGGCUGAUUGAAUAUGUUCUCGUGAUUGCUUUUAUUGGGAACAUGGAUGACACAUUUUGUUCAUACGGAAGUUGAUUUGGUUUGGCAAUUGAAGAGUUGGUCUUCCAUAAUAUUCUGUAGCAGUAGCAGUCCAGUGAACAAGCACUUGGUCUCUUAUGAACUUUGGCCAUUAUGUUUGUAACAUGUCUCUCUUGUAUA